rfam:Trichomalopsis sarcophagae strain Alberta scaffold3458, whole genome shotgun sequence.
AUAUCGGCCCUUUUCAGGGCCACCAAAUAUUCAAAACGUAUUAACA